AUUGAACGCUGGCGGCAGGCCUAACACAUGCAAGUCGAACGAGUGGCGGACGGGUGAGUAAUGUCUGGGAAACUGCCUGAUGGAGGGGGAUAACUACUGGAAACGGUAGCUAAUACCGCAUACCAUCAGAUGUGCCCACAUGGGAUUAGCUAGUUGGUGGGGUAACGGCUCACCAAGGCGACGAUCCCUAGCUGGUCUGAGAGGAUGACCAGCCAAACUGGAACUGGGACACGGUCCAGAGGCCUACGGGAGGCAGGAGUGGGGAAUAAUGGACAAUGGGCGCAAGCCUGAUGCAGACAUGCAGCGUGUAUGAAGACGGCCUUCGGGUUGUAAAGUACUUUCAGCGGGGAGGCGUUACCCGCAGAAGAAGCACCGGCUGACUCCGUGCCAGCAGCCGCGGUAAUUC
rnacentral:rRNA from 1 species